UGUUCUGUGGCUUAGUUGGUUAAAGCGCCAGACUAGCAAAACGGAGUCGUGGGUUCGAAUCUCAUCAAAACAA
rnacentral:tRNA from 1 species